rnacentral:snoRNA from 1 species
UGAGUAGGACGCAUGUCUAAACACGUCAUUCUGAAGACAGAGGUGUUGAAGCUGGCAUACUUUCUCAA